GAUGAACGCUGGCGGCGUGCCUAAUACAUGCAAGUCGAACGGGGAGUAGCAAUACUCUUAGUGGCGAACGGGUGAGUAACGCGUUGGUACCUGCCCCGAAGCGGGGGAUAACGGACCGAAAGGUCCGCUAAUACCCCAUGUGCUCGGUAACGAGUAAAGGUGAAAACCACUUUGGGAGGGGCCUGCGUCCCAUCAGCUAGUUGGUAAGGUAACGGCUUACCAAGGCGAUGACGGGUAGGGGACCUGAGAGGGUGGCCCCCCACAAUGGAGCUGAAACACGGUCCAUACACCUACGGGUAGCAGCAGUAGGGAAUAUUGGUAAUGGGCGCAAGCCUGAACCGGCAACGCCGCGUGUGCGAUGACGGCCUUCGGGUUGUAAAGCACUUUUGACUGGGACGAGGAAGGACGGUACCGGUCGAAUCAGCCUCGGCUAACUACGUG
rnacentral:rRNA from 1 species